GUCGGGGUCGGUUCAGGAGCAGAUGAGGUCCAAAGGGCCUAACAUGAACGGCAGGAACAGUCUGUUAUAGCUGGAGUAACUGAAAUCAGCCCAGACCUUCUGACCAACCUCCUCUCUCCUCUGAACCUCUGAAUCUUCUGUCCUGUAUCUGACCCCUGACCAGAGGCUUCCACACCCCUCCUGCCCUGCUGAAGUGUCCUUGAGCAAAGCUCUGCCCCUCUGCUAGCUGCAGGGGGGGGAGGGGGUCCUGUCUAGACCUGAAAAAAUCUCAGACGGAUCCCCCCUGGAGGAUGAUCACUUUAAACGAAGAAAGGAGGCUUUUGCCUCUUUUCAUCGAAGAAACAGAAGAAUUUUUUUUUUUUUUAUGAAUCAGGAUUUAGAAUCAGGGGCCGCUGUUAAAAAUUGUCCAAAAAUGAGCCACAUCUCAGGUCCAGUAAACCACCAAGGACUACAUCCCCCAGAAUCCUUUUCUAUUCAGGAUAUCUGCGAAAUGACAGAAUGUCUGUAUUUUAAGAAAUAAAAACUGGCUCCAAAGUGUUUCCCAGAAUUCAUAGAAAAGUUUUCUCAAAACACUCUGAUCCAAGAGGAAGUGAGGAUUACUAAAUCUCCCAUAAUCCCUCAUUUUAACCCUCAUGCUGGUGCAAAGUGCCCCCCUGUAGAGCUGCUCUGGAGUUUCUUCAGUGGACCUUAUUUCCCAGGAUGCUUCACUCUGCCCAGCCCCACUGCUGGUGCUGAAUGAUUUAAGACUCUUGUUUUAGGAGAUGGGAAAGUCCCGCAAAUUCCUGCUACACUGGACUGGACUGUGCGUGUGUGUGUGUGUGUGUGUGUGUGUGUGUGUGUGUGUGUGUGUGUGUGUGUGUGUGUGUGUGUGUGUGUGUGUGUGUGUGUGUGUGUUUAUGUGUGUGUGUGUGUGUGUGUGUGUGUUUGUGUGUGUGUGUGUGUGUGUGUGUGUGUGUGUUUGCGUGUGUGUGCGUGUGAGAGAGAGAGAGAGAGAGAGAGAGAGAGAGAGACUUCAUAUGGUCUUAAUAAUCCUCCAGUUUAAAUAUAAACGUUGACUUCACUGAACUCUCAGAGGGGCCUGGACACACAGUUCAAAACUUCCUUUAGAAAAUGACUCAUUUUUGUUAAAGUUCUUUGUGUCUGCUUUGUGCAAAGGUUUUAUGUCAGACUACUUAGACUGCAGUUUGGGGCCAGUUGGAUGUUCAGUUGACACAUUGUGAGUCCCCCAGACGACAUAAGUGUUUUCAUUGUGGGUCCACAACAACAUUUUAAACCUUUUGUUUAAAACAUCUUUGGCUGCAUCUGGUGAAAAGAUCAAUUAGUAUUUAACUGCUUUAUAUUUUCAGUAUUUUAACAAUGACAUUGUUUUUAAUUUUCUGCUGUUUCUAGUGAUUUGCUGUAUGCUCCUGAUUUCACUGUUUUCUAUUUUGCAUCUCUCAUGCUUAAAUGUCCCAACUAACUGAAGCAGGGAUGCAAAAUGGUGGAGCCGACAGGCAGACGUCUGCAGGUUGUAAACCUUCGGGACAGGGUUCAUGUUCAGGUUGACAGUUUGGUUGAUAUGUGGAUGGAGUUGAUUUAUAAGACUCAUAGAUUAAAUGUGUUUAAUAUAUUCUUGAUGAAAAAGAACUCAUGUCUGAAGCAGUGAGAGUUUUAUGAACUGAAAACAAACUUUUUCUAAGCUUUGUGGAAAGAAAAGGUUCAUGAACUCUAGAAACAAGUUUUAAGUUCAGCUGCCAUUUGGACAAAAAAACUGAUGUAAAACUCGACUCAAUGCUUGACCAAAAAAACAAUCGAAUUCCAGCACUUUCUGAAAAUCAGAGUAACUUCAGUCCAGGUCCAGGAUUUAAAAUCCUUGAGGUCAAAACUACAAAUUCCCCCAGCAGAACCCGACCCACCAACCAAACUCUGUACAAGUUUCUCAGUAUUUCAAAAUAAGUCACAGUUUUUCACACAUUAUUUAUUCGUGUAAAUGUUCGAUUGCAUUUUCCAACAAUUAUAUCUCCCAACAUGAUGGUCUACAUGUUUCAAAGCCUUCUCUACUCUCACUAACUAACUAACGAACUAACUGUAACUCAAGUUAAUUUAUUUCACAUUAAAGAUUUUCAACCCAAAACAGGAUCAGCCUUUAAAACUGUAGAAUGUAAAAUCCUCUCUAUAGCAUUAAACCUCCACAGUGUGCGGACGUAUCACUGAGAACAUGAUCUCGGUGUCUUCAGUAGCUUUGGCCCUGCACCAGACUUCUACUGACAAAGCAACACAUUUUACAUGAACUGGAGGGUCUUUAUUUCUUUAAAGCUUAAACCAUCUGAGUCUGGUCAUUUGUUAUAUGACUUGUUAUAUGAUUUGGCUGGAUAAAACUAAUACCACAGUUCAAGGAAGUAUUUCAGUAUUGAUUGAUUGUUAACUGUGCUUGUCCCAAAACAAACACAAAAGGAAAAGGAGCAUAAAGAUGUGAUGACAUCUGUGUACACUCAGACUGCGGAGGGUUUCCCACUCAGCUGUUGUCUGCACUACCCUGGGCGGUUGCUGUGGUAACCACUGAGUCACGGUGUUCCCCUCGCCGUGGUGACCGGCUACUUCCUACCUGUGGCCGAGACUGAAGAGGCCAAAACAUCUAUUUAAGGAAAAUCUGAGCUGCUGCUGCUCAUCUCAGUUUCCUCAUGGACAGUGUGGUGUGUUCACUGGAAUCCUUAGAGCGUGGGAGGAUUUACACUUCCUCUCCAACCUCCUCUGUCGAGAAAAGAUUUUCUCCGUUACUCCUCCACAGUCAAACCUGAGCUGUCAGUUAAUUGCACUGUGUAGGAGCUGUACCACAGCCAGCUGAAAUGCUGACUUUACAUCAUGUGUCAGACGCUCAGAUCAGCUGAAAAUGUAAACAACAGCAAUAGAUGCUAAACAGCCUCUGACAUGAAACUGAGAGAGCGUUUUGAAUCAGGUUGUUUCGCUGCUCUGUAGCAGCCAGGUGUGUUCACUGCCUCCUAGUAGUCGAACUCAGGGACCCGUGGUAUUAAAACACAGCUGCAGUUACUACCAGUCACCACUGGAGUCACCGAACCAACCAAUCUGAAGGUGAAUCUGACACCCCGCCUACACAGGCAGCGCUACAGUCAUCCAUCGCCUUCACACAUGAUGUGUUCAAGUGCAAUCCUUCUCUGUAGAGUAUGUAAAAAAUGCGAGAUAUCACUCGGCUGGUGUAGAGAUCUGUAGCUGUUUCUUCCAGACCCUGGUCUCGCUCAGACCACCUGUCCCGUCACAGACCUGCAGGUACAGACUGUAACCCUGGUCUUUCUCUAACCUUCAACCAAGUGUUUCAUUUUGUUAACUCUAACCAAAGUUUGGCCAUAAUUCAUCUGCCAAAAACACAACCUCUCCUCAUCCUGUAGCUGACGUGUGCAAAUACUGUAGAGAGUGAGAAUUUAAAGAACGUCAGUGUUGGAGGAAGGUUCGUCCAGGAUCCUCCUUCAGAUACACUCUGGUCUGGCUACAGGGCUGAAAAUUCAUUAUCUACUCGUGAGGUCUGAACUCUGUGACCAUUGGUACUGUACACACCAACAACCUAAUACAUGAACUGUGUAGAGAAUAUCAGGGACUUUACAGCUCAGUAAAUUCCUAUUGUUUGAUUGUGUAACACUGAGUCUGUCAGGUGUCAGCACAGUCUCUCUUCAGCCUUCAGGUUGUUGUCGACUUCUUGAGUCGUUUCUCCUCUGAUUCUUAGAAACUCAGACCUGUUCUCAGGAUCAGUUGUUGGCUGCCAAAGUCUGGCUCCUUUCUGUUUAUCGCAACCAUAGUUCCUCUCUUCCUCUUCCCCUUCCCCUUCGUCCCCUCCACAUGGGAUCCCCCUCCUCCUGGCUUACAGUUCAGCAACACUGGAGAGCACUUUCCCCUCAGUCUCGCCUUCAGGCAGAAAUAACACAUCAAGAUUUUGAGAAGAUCUGGUGACAAAUACCUGGAUCUGAAAUCUCUAAUCCUCUCUGUGUUUAUCUGUCUUGGUGAAAUCAAGCUUUCUCACUCUCAAUUUAUUGUUAUGCCUUUUUGUUGUUGUUUAUCAAAGAUGUUGUUGAUUUUAUUGAACUGUUUGUAUUAUUGUACACUCUCUUUCUGAAUAUGUGUUGCGUAGUUAGUAUUGUAUGAAUGCACCUAUUAAGAGUAUUGAUCACAAAGCAUUUCUGUGACUUUUGGCACCUUGAGCCUUUGUGGCUCCUGUUGUCCACACCUACAGGAGCAACAAAUAAGAAGUUAACCAAGACGUUUUAUUUUUUAGCAAAUAUUCUUCUUACUUUAAAUAGACUUUAGUCUGAUAUGAACCAAACAACAACCUCCACAGCCGAGUGUUGAGUCUCUGGAGCUGCAGUUCCUCUAAUGUCCACCAGAGGCUACUAUAUAAAUUAUUCUUUCGUUAAGAAGAAAUUCAGGCUCAGAUGUGUGUUUGUGGACAUGAUUGUGUGAUUGACAGGUGUCUCAGCCUAUCACACUCAGCUGUGGAGGUUGUCGUGGUCUGACAAUGAAAAUGGAUGUAAAAUCAUGAUUUAAGAAACCUGCUGUUUUAAUGACAAUCUGCCAACAGGCGAGAUUUGAGAAACACCAUGAACAUGAACCUGAUCCUGUUUUAGUUUAUUUGAAGAAGAGUAAUACUAAUGGUUUUCGUUUGCAUUAACAUUAGCUAAUGAAAAUCAUCACGGCCAUGUGAAAGAAAGAUCCUGAGAAAAAGUUUGAGUUUGAGAUUAAAGACUUAGUCCUGAUAUCCAGGAAGAUGAUAUUUUUAUCUCAUGUGCACAAGAUAUUGGAUGUUAGAUCUACGAGUUAUAAAAACUUGUAUUACCAAGAAGUUUUGUGAUCAAGAAAUAAUAAACUUGUGUUAAGAUAAUUACUUUUGUGAGCAUGACAUUUGGUGAACAUGAAGGAAAAAAAUCGUCUUUCAGGACUUUCUGUAAAUGUUUUCUGUAAAUGUUUUUUGAGAAAACAUCAGAUGUCUGAGAUUAAAGCUACACUCCGAUUUUGUUUUAACGCAUCCAAAUCCCAAAUUUCCUCCGAGCUCCAUGUUUGAUUUUUUCAAAAAGCAGCAAGUUGGAAAGAAUUUUUGGAUGUUUCAAAGUGUCUUUAAAGUCAUAACAAAUUAAUCUCAUUACUCAAUCUAUAGUUUUUCACAUGACCUUAAAAUCUCUUUUUCAUGAAAUACACACAGUGUUCACACAAAAUCUUAAAGUGAUAUGAAUGUGUGAUUUUUGUAUUUUCUGGUGUUUGUCUUGUGUUUGGUUUUGUUAUGUAACUUCCUCCUCUGCAGAAACAGAAAUACAGAUUGACUUUAUUCCUCCUUGUUAUGUAACAUGAGUCUCAUGGCGGCUGAAUAAAUCUGCUGUUUUCUCUCCAAA